rnacentral:rRNA from 1 species
CCUACGGGUGGCAGCAGUGGGGAAUAUUGGACAAUGGGCGAAAGCCUGAUCCAGCCAUGCCGCGUGUGUGAAGAAGGCCUUCGGGUUGUAAAGCACUUUCAGUGGGGAAGAAAGCCUUGGGGCUAAUACCCUCGAGGAAGGACAUCACCCACAGAAGAAGCACCGGCUAACUCCGGCCAGCAGCCGCGGUAAUACGGAGGGUGCGAGCGUUAAUCGGAAUUACUGGGCGUAAAGCGCGCGUAGGCGGUCUGAUAAGCCGGUUGUGAAAGCCCCGGGCUCAACCUGGGAACGGCAUCCGGAACUGUCAGGCUAGAGUGCAGGAGAGGAAGGUAGAAUUCCCGGUGUAGCGGUGAAAUGCGUAGAGAUCGGGAGGAAUACCAGUGGCGAAGGCGGCCUUCUGGACUGACACUGACGCUGAGGUGCGAAAGCGUGGGUAGCAAACAGGAUUAGAUACCCCGGUAGUC